AAAUUGAAGAGUUUGAUCAUGGCUCAGAUUGAACGCUGGCGGCAGGCCUAACACAUGCAAGUCGAACGGUAACAGGAAGCAGCUUGCUGCUUCGCUGACGAGUGGCGGACGGGUGAGUAAUGUCUGGGAAACUGCCUGAUGGAGGGGGAUAACUACUGGAAACGGUAGCUAAUACCGCAUAACGUCGCAAGACCAAAGAGGGGGACCUUCGGGCCUCUUGCCAUCGGAUGUGCCCAGAUGGGAUUAGUUAGUAGGUGGGGUAACGGCUCACCUAGGCGACGAUCCCUAGCUGGUCUGAGAGGAUGACCAGCCACACUGGAACUGAGACACGGUCCAGACUCCUACGGGAGGCAGCAGUGGGGAAUAUUGCACAAUGGGCGCAAGCCUGAUGCAGCCAUGCCGCGUGUAUGAAGAAGGCCUUCGGGUUGUAAAGUACUUUCAGCGGGGAGGAAGGCGACAGGGUUAAUAACCCUG
rnacentral:rRNA from 1 species